AAAUUGAAGAGUUUGAUCAUGGCUCAGAUUGAACGCUGGCGGCAGGCCUAACACAUGCAAGUCGAGCGGUAGCACAGAGAGCUUGCUCUCGGGUGACGAGCGGCGGACGGGUGAGUAAUGUCUGGGAAACUGCCUGAUGGAGGGGGAUAACUACUGGAAACGGUGGCUAAUACCGCAUAAUGUCGCAAGACCAAAGUGGGGGACCUUCGGGCCUCAUGCCAUCAGAUGUGCCCAGAUGGGAUUAGCUAGUAGGUGGGGUAACGGCUCACCUAGGCGACGAUCCCUAGCUGGUCUGAGAGGAUGACCAGCCACACUGGAACUGAGACACGGUCCAGACUCCUACGGGAGGCAGCAGUGGGGAAUAUUGCACAAUGGGCGCAAGCCUGAUGCAGCCAUGCCGCGUGUGUGAAGAAGGCCUUCGGGUUGUAAAGCACUUUCAGCGGGGAGGAAGGCGUUAAGGUUAAUAACCUUGGCGAUUGACGUUACCCGCAGAAGAAGCACCGGCUAACUCCGUGCCAGCAGCCGCGGUAAUACGGAGGGUGCAAGCGUUAAUCGGAAUUACUGGGCGUAAAGCGCACGCAGGCGGUCUGUCAAGUCGGAUGUGAAAUCCCCGGGCUCAACCUGGGAACUGCAUUCGAAACUGGCAGGCUAGAGUCUUGUAGAGGGGGGUAGAAUUCCAGGUGUAGCGGUGAAAUGCGUAGAGAUCUGGAGGAAUACCGGUGGCGAAGGCGGCCCCCUGGACAAAGACUGACGCUCAGGUGCGAAAGCGUGGGGAGCAAACAGGAUUAGAUACCCUGGUAGUCCACGCCGUAAACGAUGUCGAUUUGGAGGUUGUGCCCUUGAGGCGUGGCUUCCGGAGCUAACGCGUUAAAUCGACCGCCUGGGGAGUACGGCCGCAAGGUUAAAACUCAAAUGAAUUGACGGGGGCCCGCACAAGCGGUGGAGCAUGUGGUUUAAUUCGAUGCAACGCGAAGAACCUUACCUGGUCUUGACAUCCACAGAACUUUCCAGAGAUGGAUUGGUGCCUUCGGGAACUGUGAGACAGGUGCUGCAUGGCUGUCGUCAGCUCGUGUUGUGAAAUGUUGGGUUAAGUCCCGCAACGAGCGCAACCCUUAUCCUUUGUUGCCAGCGGUUCGGCCGGGAACUCAAAGGAGACUGCCAGUGAUAAACUGGAGGAAGGUGGGGAUGACGUCAAGUCAUCAUGGCCCUUACGACCAGGGCUACACACGUGCUACAAUGGCAUAUACAAAGAGAAGCGACCUCGCGAGAGCAAGCGGACCUCAUAAAGUAUGUCGUAGUCCGGAUUGGAGUCUGCAACUCGACUCCAUGAAGUCGGAAUCGCUAGUAAUCGUAGAUCAGAAUGCUACGGUGAAUACGUUCCCGGGCCUUGUACACACCGCCCGUCACACCAUGGGAGUGGGUUGCAAAAGAAGUAGGUAGCUUAACCUUCGGGAGGGCGCUUACCACUUUGUGAUUCAUGACUGGGGUGAAGUCGUAACAAGGUAACCGUAGGGGAACCUGCGGUUGGAUCACCUCCUUACCUUAAAGAA
rnacentral:rRNA from 1 species